GAGUGCCUACAUAAUCAAAUUCUUGUCCAAACUGCAUUCUGCAAAAAUUAGGCACAAAAUUCUAGAAUACAUUUAUUGGAACAAAAAUAAAAAAUAAACAUAAAAUCAAGUCAAAUUCAAUCAAUCCACACUACUAGAAAAAUAAACCUCGAGUCCCCAGCAACGGCACCAAAAACUUGUUGACGGAUUGGCAAGUGUACCAAAUCUUACAAGUAAUAUAAAUGGUAAGACCAAGUAUCGUUUUCCCAAGAGACUCGUAUGGCUUCCUCGUUCGCGUGAAUUAAAAUAAUAAGACUUGAGAAAUUACAAUUAAUAAAUUGGGUUUGAGAACAAAAAUAUUAACAUGCAAAAUAAAGGUUGAUUCAAUUGACAAGCGAAAACAAUGGAUGAAUGGAUGUUGUUGGGUACUAACAAUUUCAUCUAUUCCACUCUCUCUUACAUACUACCCUUGAUUAUUAGAUUGAUUCAAUUAUUAUGCGACUUUCUUAGCCUCCCCUGAAUCCGAUCCCUCGGUGAAAAGGGCCUAAUAUUAACUACUGGCUUGUUAUCCCUAGCCUCCCC
rnacentral:lncRNA from 1 species